GCCCACGGGAACAGGCAUAGAGUGGAAUUUCCUCUCUGACUGUCGUAAAGCAAUUCGCCAGGUGCAGAGUCUGAUAUUGUCAGGACAGAGUGACCCGUAAGACCUUGGCAUCUGGUUUUGCGACAGUUAACAGGUGACACCUCUUUUCUAUGGUCAAGCAAUUCUAAAAUUAUCCCAACAUCCUGGAGGUUUCAGAUGGCAAGUGGUAGGGUCGCAUGGCGGAAGUGGGGCAAGUUGCUCAGGACGGUUGAGGGACAGUCACAGUGCCCUCGCCUGGUGUCGCUGGGUAACUUGUCUCCCAACCUUCAUAAGGAGAGAAAUUUACUCACGCACACUUUUUGUUGGGAAGUAAAUCCCGAUUUGGGUCGAGUGCAUUGAUACACUACACUAUGCGGUCUUGAUGCACUGUGGAGGGACAUUGAGAGUUGACGGUUGGUUCAUGUGAAAGAUUGUGCAGUUGUUUCAUGUUUUUCGGAGUUUUCAUGACAAUCACGAGAACAAAUAUUCAUAUUUGGUAUGGUUUUUAUGGUCUCUGUGCGAGUGAUGCUCUGGUUUAGCUUUUAAAACCAGCAAACCUAGAGAAAAUCUAUUUUAAUAAAUUUGGAAGUCAACUGUAUUUUUUGGACACUCCUCCUGGUAAAUCCAUCUGUCUGAUCCUGUCUGAACCAAAUUCCAAUCUUCCCCCUCCAAGUAAAUUUAUGGUUUUAUGACCCUUUUGUGGCGACAUCCACCUGCCUGCGCUGGGUUCUUAUAGGAGAGGAACAGGGCCCUCUGGGAGUCUGCAAUCAGACUUCCCACACAAGACUCUUUCUGUGUGUAGACUGCUGUCAGGUAUGCUCAUCUUUAUCUUUGAUUGUUAGACUAUUUUCUAAAUUCUGUAACUACAAAUUGACUAUUUUAAGUGUAUAACCUACCUGACAUUAAAACUGUUAAUGACUUGAUUUGUGUGGUCUUGGUCAAUGUUUCGUUCUUGUAAAAGCCCUCUAAGUCGGUUUCCCCCAAUUAUGACUAGGGAACUGCCCGUUGGACUUGUUUGAUCACCAAGUUUUCAGUUAAGGCGGGACCGUCAGCAGAACCAAGUUGAUCCUGGGAUGACCAAUAUUGGCCCUUUCGGAGUCCCUGAACCUUAAUUAGGUUAUACUCCCCAUGAGGGAAAUCUCACAACCGCUGUGUCGUCUGCAAACAGCUAGUUAAAUUGUCGUUACGGGCGUAUCCGCGGUGCGUACCGGGUGAAACUGCGUUGACCCUCGGUGUAGAACUUCAGACGAACUGAGGUCCAUUCUAAAUCAAGCCUAAAUUCUAAUUUGGAACAUAACUUAUUAAUUAAUAUGGAGUCAGAUUAUCACGAGGAUAAAACCUAGUAACUGUUACGCUUUCUUGCUGUGGUCAUGGAUAUAGUUGAUGUGUUGUUCCGCGCAUUUGUGAAUAUUCUGAUGCUCCCAUUGGGAUAUUGACAGUCCGGCGACAAAUCGGAUAUAUCUCUGAUGACAGCAUAGCCCCGUUUGCGAAUGGAGAGUAACCUGAAUGCUACUGAUCCGUUUCGGGCCAGUUUUAAGCGGGAUAUGAAGCAGCGCCUUCAUAUCUAACCCGUGGCAACGGAACCAGUGCAUUCUUAAUUAUAAUUGUGCCCUGUUCUUACGAACAGAGGAAAAAUAACUAACAUCUCCGGUUUUGAAUCACACCAGCCAAGGGAGAACACGCGGUGCCUUCCCCUCCAGCUACAAACCCUCAUUGGUCUAGCUGUGAGGUGUUUACAAGUGGUGACCCCGACGUGAUAUGGAGUAUCUGGAGUGUUCCCUGAAAUGUCUGCUGGUGUUUUUCAUCCCGGCGUGAUACCCUUCACUGUGGGUAUCUCGCAUUUUCUUCUCUGGGUUUCCCGAUCCUUGGUGUGGUGAGUGACAAAAUCCUCUUGUGUAUUAGCCUGUGCUAGGGAGAGUUUUUAGCCACUGUGCAGGGGAUCGACAUAUCCCAGACAGGCCUGGGACCGUAGAAACCAGGCUUUUUCCAUAUUACUACCCUUCGGGGGAAUGCAUAAACAGGGAAAGAGAGAAGCUUAGGCUGGCAUGUUUUUAUGAAAUGUGUUGUGAUAAUACGGCGGAAUGCGUUCUAGAACAAACUAGCCUAUAGCAGUAGAUGGUUACGUAUGUGUAAUGAAAUGUAAACGUUUGUAGAAAGGAAGGGAGUUUUGAUGCAAGGCUUACUACUGUUUCUGCGCAGAGGCGCAGAAAACCUUGCUCAAACUCAGGAGAAAUGAGGCACUGGUGAAAAGCCAGUGAAUUUUGAAGGUGAACAGUGAAAGUUUAUAGCUGCCAGUAAGCGUGUGCAAUCACAGAAUGCACACGCGAAGAAGUUUGAACUUUGCUAGGGGGCUAACCCAGGAAAAGUGGCAAGCUUCUUAUUAUAAUUAAAUUAAAUAAUAUUAAAACACUGCUGAAUGCUGAAUCAGGUGCAUAACCUCGGCUUCAAAGUUCCAGCCCUGAAAGCAGAGUCUGUGCUGAUCCUUAAACCCAGGUAUGGCCCUGCGGCGGUACACACGUCUCAAGACCUCUGACAGUGCAGACUGCAGCUGCACCAAGUUUUGAAACUGUUCGUAUCUGUCCGGAGAAAACCAUACUUUAAGUCUCAGAGAUCGAGGCCGGUACCAGUGUAGUCACUGAACCUCUGAGUACCGUGCCCGAUGUAAUGUCACAGGACCGCUGAGUGCCACGGCAAAUGCAAGUCUCCAUCCCUCUGAAAGUGUAGCCGCAGGCUACAACAAGGGUGGCGACCGUCUGGAAUUUGCCGCAUGUGGGACUCAUGUCUAAAGACCUCUGAAACUGGUGAAAAGGUAUCAGGACACAGAACUUCUGCAUUUCUGAGGUGCUGGAACCAAGGUCCUUGGCCUGUGUUAUCUGUCUCAGUAAACAGUGGUGUACUAUUAAUUAAAUAAAUAGGUUAGGAUUUAUGAAACAGUUGAGAUAAGCCAGUGUAGAAGGUAAAAUUCCAACAUGGCUUACAACCAACCAAAAAUAGACUUUGGCCUAUUAUAAAUAAAAUAAUCAUUAGCCUAGAGCUAAACUAAGUUAUGUAGGCAUAGGUGUGCCACCAUUCACCUUUCUUUAGAAAGCUCGCUUUCAAAAAAGUGUAGUGAAUUCUGGUGUACCCUAUUGUUUUCAUCUGGGUUUUUAUUCUGUGUGUCUUAGCGGCACAAGGAGGAAAUCAGAGGAUUUAAACUAAUAAUAUUAACUAAUAAUAUAUUAAUUAUUAACGCAUGCCUGUGCACGCCAUUUAGAAACUGGUAGAAUUCACUAACAGACUUAUUUGGGUGCCAAUUAAAUUAGCCAAGGCAUGUUAGAUACUAGAGAUCUAAUGGUAUUUUUGUGUGAAUUUCACCAUAGCACAACAUAUACAUAUUAGAAUCUUUAGCAAACCGUUGAUAAGCCAGUCAAAUGCCAUAAAUGAACAUAAGGUCAUCAAGCUUAAACUCAGCUAAUAAGGGCCAGUAUCAUCUGUGCCUGCAAGGAAAAUUAUUUAAGGAAGAAGUCUUCCAAACUACAUAUGUCAAAUAAAUAAAUAAAUAAGGAGAAGAAGCACUUACUCCUAAGUUUACAUCAAGUUUGUCUUUUAACAUUAAAAUGUUGAAAGGGGUGUCAUUUUUUGGCAAGGACUGGCUUACUGGUCUCACUUUAUUCUACUUUUCUACAUUUUCUCUCCUUAGAUCUCCUCCUUCUUUUUCAUUUACUGUUCCUCCUCCUCCUUUCUCCCUUCUCCCCAUCUGUCUGUCUUGUUCUGUUUCCCCCCCUUCUCUGUCAGUUGUUGAAUAUUUAAGGAGCAGUAAACCUACACUCCCAAGACAGUGUCUGAUUUUCUUUUUGUUUUUUCAUCUUUUUAUUUUUGUCAGUUGUGGUUUAACCCCCAAAUUAUGCAGACAGUAACCCUACAUAGAUUUUCUCUUCUUUGCACAAAUACAGGCAAAGAAGUUAGCACCUCAAGCAUCGGUGACAGACCAGUUGGGUGGAAAUCUCUGAAGGGGUCAUAAACAUGUCAGCAGCUCAUUUAGCCAACUCCUAACUUUAAACAGGCCCCCUGGUGUAGCACCAGAGCAAAUUUUACAACACCCAAUUUGUUACAUUAGGGGUUCCACCCAUCCCAUUAAGAACUUCACAGUCAUCUGAUCUAACAAGAGUACACAAACCAGCACACAUCCAAUCCCAAAUAGCACACAUAUAGGAAACAAUAGAAACACUAUCCUAUGUGAUUCUAUGAGUUUCUUGGUGCAAUAAUGAAUUUCUCCUCUACCAUUAACGCAUAGUAUAGACAACAUUUCUUCAGUCUGUUUUCAAUUAAACUAUUUUACAGUAAUUACCAUUCCAGUAAUUUUCAACUUUUCAAUAAAUGUUUGUAUGUAUGUAUAUAGGCAUUGUAUGUUUCUGAACACUACUUGUCUUAUAUGUCUUAAAUUAUGCUUUUUGUGUUUUUCUUUAUUUUUAUACUGUAUGUUCAUUAUAAUGGUUCUUUAUUUUUAUACUAUCAUUUUCAAUACCCAUCCAUACAAAAUGUAUUGAGUUUUGUCUCCUUUCUUUUUAAUUUCCCAAAUCCAGUUUAUCCAAAAUUACAAAGGAUAUUACCAUGAGAAGGACAAAAAACAUAUUUACCACAAAAUGCAGUUGUCAUGAAAACUCCGAACUACCUCAUUCAUAUAUACCAUGUCUUACCAACCUUUUUCCCAAUAAUCCCACCAAGUGUGUUAAGGUUCAACCUCCGCACAGCCCCGUGGAUGUCAACCUUAAGUACAGUUUCUCCAAGACUUUGCUCCGAUAGAUUCAAUCGAGAGGACACCUCCUGGUACAAAGUUCCUACGUCACUGUCAGCUGUCUUGUGAGUUUUCCUGUGCUUAAGAACACGGCGGGCCCCGACUGAUGGAAUGGACUUAGUGCAACAGGUCAUCUGAGGCACAAAAGUUCCCAUCUUCACUCCAACAUCUGAUCCGUUCCAUACCAUACACACCUCAACCCACACAACCCUUGAUAUCAGCCUUCCCAGUUAUUCCCACCAUCAGCCCUACGACCCUGGACCUCCGGCACCAACCAUUUGGGAAAGUGUCCAUGACCCCUUGGGAGGACGUUUUGAAGUGUCCCCCAUUGGGCCAGAGGGGGGAGCUGUAAGAGGGAAAUUAUACUGGGACCCAGAAAAGGCUGACAUUUGAACGAGCCAGCAUGCUGGGACGCAGCGUGUACUUCAAAGGACCCGAGAGCCUUGUGGUAAAACAAUAAGUCACUCGGACUUCCUCUGAAUGGGCAGGCCAUUUGGCUCUCUGGAAUGUUACCACCUGGACACAACCAAGAUAAGGGGAACUAGUCUCUUUGUCUGUGGUUGUGGGUGUGGGUGUUUUGGGGUCGUAAAGGGUGAAGCGACCGGCACCUGGUGGGGGCACUACACGGGACAGUACCACACUGCCCACAUAUGGACCCCUCUGACAUUACACUUUGUAUUUCUUUUCUGGAUCUGGACUAUAAACCAUCUGUAUAUCUUAUUUACAAAUCCCGGAAAACCUUACAAACCAUGCACAUGUGUUCAUUGUAUUAUUGUAUUAUGCCUUAUGUAAUAAUAACAUGGAUUGCGUGUACAAUGGUUAAACAGAAGGGUAUUUUCAUGACAACUGCACCAUAAUAUUACAUCCACUUGACAUGUUUAGUAUGGACAUAUUCAGGAAAAUUAUAGCAAUUGAAUGAAAUAUGUUUCAUACCAAAUAGAAUUUGGGAAAACAUAGUUUCAGCAACUCAGGAAAAAACUAACACAAUGGAAUGUCCUCUCUGGUAAUCAUCUCCUUUUCCCGAUUUCCCCACUGAUUGUUUUAACAGCAGCCCCAAAUGGUGGGGGCCGAAAUUUGAGAUUUAUGAUUCGGACAGGUUAAUUUAUGGCAAUGCCGCCUAGACCAAACGCGGGAUUUGGCUUAAAAGGAAGGGAGACAAAGCAAUCGAGGAAGAUCGUAAUCGACUUCCCACCGUGCACAUACUAUGUGCGCUGCGUGUAGACAGACAAGGAAGAUCGUAAUCGACUUCCCUCAGUGCACAUACUAGGCUAUGUGUUCUGUGUAGAGAUAGCCAUGGAAGAUCGCAAUCGACUUCCCGCACUGCGCAUACUCGAUGUUCUGUGUGUAGCUAAACAGGCUGGUAAGAACUCUUUUACUCUGCAUUUCUGUUUUUAACCUUUAUAAUUGAUUUUGGAAAUUGAAGAUAAUAACCUACCUGCCUGUUCAAUAAAUUCUUAUUUUUAACUUG